UACAGAGGUGGCAAGCGUUGUUCGGAAUUACUGGGCGUAAAGGGCGCGUAGGCGGCCUUCUAAGUCAGACGUGAAAUCCCCCGGCUUAACCUGGGAACUGCGUCUGAUACUGGGAGGCUAGAGUAUGGGAGAGGGAUGUAGAAUUCCAGGUGUAGCGGUGAAAUGCGUAGAUAUCUGGAGGAAUACCGGUGGCGAAGGCGGCAUCCUGGACCAUUACUGACGCUGAAUCGCGAAAGCUAGGGGAGCAAACGGGG
rnacentral:rRNA from 1 species